UGGGGAAUAUUGCACAAUGGGCGCAAGCCUGAUGCAGCCAUGCCGCGUGUGUGAAGAAGGCCUUCGGGUUGUAAAGCACUUUCAGCGAGGAGGAAGGUGGUGAACUUAAUACGUUCAUCAAUUGACGUUACUCGCAGAAGAAGCACCGGCUAACUCCGUGCCAGCAGCCGCGGUAAUACGGAGGGUGCAAGCGUUAAUCGGAAUUACUGGGCGUAAAGCGCACGCAGGCGGUUUGUUAAGUCAGAUGUGAAAUCCCCGGGCUCAACCUGGGAACUGCAUUUGAAACUGGCAAGCUAGAGUCUCGUUAGAGGGGGGUAGAAUUCCAGGUGUAGCGGUGAAAUGCGUAGAGAUCUGGAGGAAUACCGGUGGCGAAGGCGGCCCCCUGGACGAAGACUGACGCUCAGGUGCGAAAGCGUGGGGAGCAAACAGAUUAGAUACCCUGGUAGUCCACGCUGUAAACGAUGUCGAUUUUGGAGGUUGUGCCCUUGAGGCGUGGCUUCCGGAGCUAACGCGUUAAAUCGACCGCCUGGGGAGUACGGCCGCAAGGUUAAAAC
rnacentral:rRNA from 1 species